rnacentral:misc_RNA from 1 species
AAGUCGUAACAAGGUUUCCGUAGGUGAACCUGCGGAAGGAUCAUUAACAAUUGAUGAGUAGACGCUUGCGUCUGCACAUUUGCCCGGGAUUGCAAAAUCCCAAGGCUACAUAUGCGCGUAUUUGUUUGACUGUUUUGAUACUUUAUAAUCUAUACAACUUUUAACAAUGGAUCUCUUGGCUCUU